rnacentral:pre_miRNA from 1 species
ACCAUCAGGCUGGUAUAAGCGUAACCUCUUGUAAAUCUCCAACACUAAGCUUGGUUACAGCUCUGUUGAAGAAUUGCAGGUGGUAGGUGCUAUCCAUGCAUUA